rnacentral:rRNA from 1 species
AUUGAACGCUAGCGGCAGGCCUAACACAUGCAAGUCGAACGAGUGGCGGACGGGUGAGUAAUGUCUGGGAAACUGCCCGAUGGAGGGGGAUAACUACUGGAAACGGUAGCUAAUACCGCAUACCAUCGGAUGUGCCCAGAUGGGAUUAGCUAGGAGGUGGGGUAACGGCUAACCUAGGCGACGAUCCCUAGCUGGGCUGAGAGGAUGACCAGCCACACUGGAACUGGAACACGGUCCGUACUCCUACGGGGGGCAUCAGUGGGGAAUAUUGCACAAUGGGCGCAAGCCUGAUGCAGCCAUGCCGCGUGUAUGAAGAAGGCCUUCGGGUUGUAAAGUACUUUCAGCGAGGAGGCGUUACUCGCAGAAGAAGCACCGGCUAACUCCGUGCCAGCAGCCGCGGUAAUU